rnacentral:rRNA from 1 species
UUUGGGGAAGGCCCCUUAAAAAUUUUUUGGGGCCCGGAACGCNCGUUAACANUGGAGGGGGCCGGGGGGUAAAUUCCCUUGGCCGGAAAGGCCCCGGGGAAAUUUUGUUAAAACUCCCUUCGGGCUGGGGGAUUGGAGCCAUGCCAAAUAAUUGCUUCUUUAGGAGGGAAUCCCUUAGUAAGCGCAAAGUCAUCCGUUGCGUUGGAUAACGUUCCCUGCCCCUUUGUACACACCCGCCCCGUCGUAAUUACCGAAUUGAAUGGCUUCAGUGAGGGCGUCCCGAACUGGCCCAGGGAGGUGGGCAACUACCACCCAGGGCCGGAAAGCUCUCCAAACUCGGUCAUUUAGAGGAAGUAAAAGUCGUAACAAGGUCUCCGUUGGUGAACCAGCGGAGGGAUCAUUACCGAGUUAUCCAACUCCCAACCCCUGUGAAUUAUACCUUUAAUUGUUGCUUCGGCGGGACUUCGCGCCCGCCGGGGACCCAAACCUUCUGAAUUUUUUUAAUAAGUAUCUUCUGAGUGGUUAAAAAAAAAUGAAUCAAAACUUUCAACAACGGAUCUCUUGGUUCUGGCAUCGAUGAAGAACGCAGCGAAAUGCGAUAAGUAAUGUGAAUUGCAGAAUUCAGUGAAUCAUCGAAUCUUUGAACGCACAUUGCGCCCGUCAGUAUUCUGGCGGGCAUGCCUGUUCGAGCGUCAUUACGCCCCUCAAGUCCCCUGUGGACUUGGUGUUGGGGAUCGGCGAGGCUGGUUUUCCAGCACAGCCGUCCCUCAAAUCAAUUGGCGGUCUCGCCGUGGCCCUCCUCUGCGCAGUAGUAAAACACUCGCAACAGGAGCCCGGCGCGGUCCACUGCCGUAAAACCCCCCAACUUUUUAUAGUUGACUCGAAUCAGGUAGGACUACCCGCUGAACUUAAGCAUAUCAAUAGCGGAGGAAAAGAAACCAACAGGGAUUGCCCCAGUAACGGCGAGUGAAGCGGCAACAGCUCAAAUUUGAAAUUCUGGUUCCCCAGGGCCCGAGUUUGUAAUUUGCAAAGGAUUGCUUUUGGUGAGGUGCCUUCCCGAGUUCCCUGGAACGGGACGCCUAAAANGGKGGGARANCCCCCGUCUNGGUUUGGAUUACCGAGCCCUCUUGUAAAGCUCCUUCGAACAAGUUCAGUUAUUUGGGGAAUUGCUUGCUCUUAAUUGGGAAGGUUUUAUGUUUUUCUUAAAGCUUAAAUUUUUGGCC